rnacentral:tRNA from 2 species
GCAGAAGUAGUUCAGUGGUAGAACACCACCUUGCCAAGGUGGGGGUCGCGGGUUCGAAUCCCGUCUUCUGCUCCA